rnacentral:rRNA from 1 species
UACGAAGGGGGCUAGCGUUGCUCGGAAUCACUGGGCGUAAAGCGCACGUAGGCGGCUUUUUAAGUCAGGGGUGAAAUCCUGGAGCUCAACUCCAGAACUGCCUUUGAUACUGAGAAGCUUGAGUCCGGGAGAGGUGAGUGGAACUGCGAGUGUAGAGGUGAAAUUCGUAGAUAUUAGGAAGAACACCAGUGGCGAAGGCGGCUCACUGGCCCGGUACUGACGCUGAGGCGCGAAAGCGUGGGGAGCAAACAGG